rnacentral:rRNA from 1 species
CCUACGGGAGGCAGCAGUGAGGAAUAUUGGUCAAUGGACGAGAGUCUGAACCAGCCAAGUAGCGUGAAGGAUGACUGCCCUAUGGGUUGUAAACUUCUUUUAUAUGGGAAUAAAACGUUCCACGUGUGGGAUUUUGUAUGUACCAUAUGAAUAAGGAUCGGCUAACUCCGUGCCAGCAGCCGCGGUAAUACGGAGGAUCCGAGCGUUAUCCGGAUUUAUUGGGUUUAAAGGGAGCGUAGGUGGAUUGUUAAGUCAGUUGUGAAAGUUUGCGGCUCAACCGUAAAAUUGCAGUUGAAACUGGCAGUCUUGAGUACAGUAGAGGUGGGCGGAAUUCGUGGUGUAGCGGUGAAAUGCUUAGAUAUCACGAAGAACUCCGAUUGCGAAGGCAGUUCACUGGACUGUAACUGACGCUGAGGCUCGAAAGUGUGGGUAUCAAACAGGAUUAGAUACCCUUGUAGUC